ACUCCUACGGGAGGCUGCAGUAAGGAAUAUUGGGCAAUGGAGGCAACUCUGACCCAGCCAUGCCGCGUGGAGGAUGAAGGUCCUCUGGAUUGUAAACUUCUUUUAUAUGGGACGAAAAAGGACCUUUCCAGGUCAACUGACGGUACCAUAUGAAUAAGCACCGGCUAACUCCGUGCCAGCAGCCGCGGUAAUACGGAGGGUGCAAGCGUUAUCCGGAUUCACUGGGUUUAAAGGGUGCGUAGGUGGGUUGGUAAGUCAGUGGUGAAAUCUCUGGGCUUAACCCGGAAACUGCCAUUGAUACUAUCAGUCUUGAAUAUUGUGGAGGUCAGCGGAAUAUGUCAUGUAGCGGUGAAAUGCUUAGAUAUGACAUAGAACACCAAUUGCGAAGGCAGCUGGCUACUCAUAUAUUGACACUGAGGCACGAAAGCGUGGGGAUCAAACAGGAUUAGAUACCCUGGUAGUCCACGCCCUAAACUAUGGAUACUCGACAUACGCGAUACACAGUGUGUGUCUGAGCGAAAGCAUUAAGUAUCCCACCUGGG
rnacentral:rRNA from 1 species